GACGAACGCUGGCGGCGCGCCUAAUACAUGCAAGUCGAACGGGUACCGCUUCGGUGGUGCCAGUGGCGGACGGGUGAGUAACACGUGGGUGACCUGCCCUCCGGUGGGGAAUAACUCUGGGAAACCAGGGCUAAUACCGCAUAUGCUUAACACUUCGCUGUGCUAAGUAAAGAUUUAUCGCCGGAGGAGGGGCCUGCGUCGGAUUAGCUAGGCGGUGGGGUAAUGGCCUACCGCGGCAGCGAUCCGUAGCUGGUCUGAGAGGACGACCAGCCACACUGGGACUGAGACACGGCCCAGACUCCUACGGGAGGCAGCAGUAAGGAAUAUUCCACAAUGGGCGCAAGCCUGAUGGAGCGACGCCGCGUGAGCGAAGAAGCCCUUCGGGGUGUAAAGCUCUUUUCAACGGGAUGAUGAUGACAGUACCGUUGGAAUAAGCCUCGGCUAACUACGUGCCAGCAGCCGCGGUAAC
rnacentral:rRNA from 1 species